AUACGUAGGGGGCGAGCGUUGUCCGGAAUGAUUGGGCGUAAAGGGCGCGUAGGCGGCGCGGUAAGUCUGGAGUGAAAGUCCUGCUUUCAAGGUGGGAAUUGCUUUGGAUACUGCCGCGCUUGAGUGCAGGAGAGGUUAUCGGAAUUCCCGGUGUAGCGGUGAAAUGCGUAGAGAUCGGGAGGAACACCAGUGGCGAAGGCGGGUAACUGGACUGCAACUGACGCUGAGGCGCGAAAGUGUGGGGAGCAAACAGGAUUAGAUACCCUGUUAGUCCACACUGUAAACGAUGAAUGCUAGGUGUAAGAGGUAUCUACCCCUUUUGUGCCGGAGUCAACACAAUAAGCAUUCCGCCUGGGGAGUACAGCCGCAAGGUUGAAACUCAAAGGAAUUGACGGG
rnacentral:rRNA from 1 species